GCCUAGUUAGCUUGGUUGGUAGCGCGUCUGCCUUGUAAGCGCUAGGUCGCGGGUUCGAUUCCCGCCCGUGGCG
rfam:Asian citrus Psyllid, Diaphorina citri - Florida Strain, whole genome shotgun sequence.